CUUUAAGCUUCUUUUACAGCAGCACGUCAGACCUGCGGUGUAAUGGAAAAUGGAUGAAGGCCAGCCCAGGUUGUAAGUCACUUCCUCAGUGAGUUCACCUGGUUAAACUGGGCACUCUGGAUCUGUGCCCCAAGCAGGAAAAACAGACUUCCAUUUGACGGUGCUAUAACUGGCCUGUCACCUUGCAAUGCUGUACUAAGAAAAACAGUCUAAGAAAAUGAAUAAAUGCAGGCAUGUGAUACUCUCUACACUCAAGACACUGGAAGACCGUUCUGCGUGGAGUUGGCACAAUGGUGAUUUCUUCAAACAUCAGGACUGUGUUGUUUCACACAAAUAUGUGUUUGAGAACCUGCGAUGAUCUUGCCAACUAAGGAUGGCAGGGACCAUAAUAAAAGGAAAACAUAAAAACUGGUUAUGCCGAAAGCCAGGGUUAUAUCUGCCUGUUUGCGCCAUAUUAAAGAGGAGGCCAACAUAACCCCAACCUGUUCCUGUCCAUUACUGCAUCCAUAAAGCAGUAUGCAUAAACCAUGAGAAGUCUACCUGGCCAUCCAAGAGGGACAAAGGAUAGGCUUUCAAAAAUCUGCCAUUUCUUUCCAAAGCGUUAAACACAUUUUCAACAGGCUUUUCUCUUCUGGGGCCCAAAUUGCUGUUAUUCUUGUUUCUACAUCUCUCUACAAACUAAUAAAAAGACUGUAAUUAUUGUGAUCAACCUUUGACUUGUUUCUUACUAAAAUAAUUCAUUUAAUUUUCCAUUUGCUUUGUGACCUGUUAUGCAGAUUCCCAUGGCAAAACUAAGUGCUAUUCAAUACGGAAGCAAUUUUUGCGGACUUUUAUUUCAGUCAUGUUCUGUGGGGCAAAUACUGUGCAUUUAGAAGCUUAAUAUAUAAUGUAACAAGGAAAACACAGCAUUGAACAUUUCGAGAAUCAAUAGUAGAGAAAGCGCUAA